AACACAGUGUCUCUUUAGAACAUAUUUAUUUCUGCCAGGCUAGUCAGAUAAGCCCUGGCCCCGACUCUCGCCUUCACCCUUGUGACACUGGCCAAAGCUUUCCUGGGCACAUCUUCCCACCCUUUCUAAAGCUCCUCUCCAGUCCUUCUCAACAUGACUGCUUGUCCUGUGGGCACUUGCAAAUAGCAUAGCUGUUUCUCUUCCUCUUUUCCGUCUUCCUACAGCUUGCCUACCUGUUGUUUUUCCUCUUAAACUCUAAUAAAAUUGUCCCCAAGCUUCCUUUUGAUUUUAUUUACUUUUUAUUAAUGAAGCCAAGAACCCCAAAUUUCUUCAGUGACAUGGCCACAUUGAAUAAUUUUUUUUCCUUUUUGCUAUUAUGUGUUUAAUUGGCCUAACAAGGACGGGUUGCAAAAAUUGGUAGCUAUUUGGGGUUCACUCAAGCUAUGACCCUAAUGACAGAUGUAAGGCCUGGGUGAAGGUAAAGACGUCCCCCUGCUUAGGGCUUUUUUAAAUAAAAGAAAUUUCCUUGGAACAGUGCAUAACAUCUUACCCCUCAGUGGCCAACUUUGGUGUGUGGUGGUUUGAAUGAGAACGGCCCCCACAGACUUGAACACUUGAAUGUUUGGUCCCCAGCUGGUGAAGUUGUUUGGGAAGGACUAGAAAAUGUAGCCGUGGAGGAGGAGGUGUGUGGGGUGCAGGCUUUGGUUUCAAGAGAGUUAUGCCUUUCCCACGGUCUCUCUGUCUCCUUGCAUAUCGAGAUGUGAGCUCUCAGCUACUGCUCCAGUGCCAUGGCUACCAGCUGUUAUGCUCGCGCCAUGAUGGUCAUGAGCUCUGACCUCUCAAUCCUUGGGCGACAGAUAAACUCUCUUCUAUGCUGAUUGCUGAGCUGGGAAGAACCUUGCCUCUGAUCUGCAGCAGCCUAGGAUUUUGACAGUGGAACAGGAUUCUAGAACAGAGUCCACUUCCUGUAGAGAAAUGAGUUGACAUGAAUGACAAGAGCUAUGGUGGAGGAUGCUCUGUCAUCUGUAUCUUUCACCUACUAGCGUGAUGGGAAGAACCUGGUCCAGAUCCAUAUGCCUUUGCCCUGACUCUGGUGGCUGGAAGGCAUCUUUGGCUUUUCUGAGCUUAUGGAAGCUCUGCCCAAGCCCUGCCUUUGGAUUUACACUGUACUGCCCUUGCCAGGGUAUGCCUGUGUCCAAACAACCUUCUGUCUGGGGACAGUGUGGCAUCACAGCCCACUCCAGUGACCUCAAUUUAAGCUGCCAGGACCUUAUUCCCAAAUCUGGUCUCAUCUUGAAGCACUGCAGCUAGAAUUUCAGCACAGUUGCUCUGCUUCCUUCUCCCCAUGUCUGUGUUAAGAGCAGGCUCAGCAAACCUACAGCUGCACCACAGAAGGGAAUAAUAAAGACCAGUCAAUGCAU
rnacentral:lncRNA from 1 species